rnacentral:rRNA from 1 species
UUAUCCGGAUUUAUUGGGUGUAAAGGGUGCGUAGACGGGAAGACAAGUUGGUUGUGAAAGCCCUCGGCUCAACUGAGGAACUGCAACCAAAACUAUCAUUCUUGAGUGCGGGAGAGGAAAGUGGAAUUCCUAGUGUAGCGGUGAAAUGCGUAGAUAUUAGGAGGAACACCAGUGGCGAAGGCGACUUUCUGGACCGUAACUGACGUUGAGGCACGAAAGUGUGGGGAGCAAACAGGAUUAGAUACCCUGGUAGUCCACACCGUAAACGAUGGAUACUAGGUGUAGGGAACGAUAUGUUUUCUGUGCCGAAAGCAAACGCAAUAAGUAUCCCACCUGGGGAGUACGGCCGCAAGGUUGAAACUCAAAGGAAUUGACGGGGGCCCGCACAAGCAGUGGAGUAUGUGGUUUAA